AGUGAACGCUGGCGGUAGGCCUAACACAUGCAAGUCGAACGGCAGCACAGUAAGAGCUUGCUCUUACGGGUGGCGAGUGGCGGACGGGUGAGGAAUACAUCGGAAUCUACUUUUUCGUGGGGGAUAACGUAGGGAAACUUACGCUAAUACCGCAUACGACCUACGGGUGAAAGCAGGGGAUCUUCGGACCUUGCGCGAUUGGAUGAGCCGAUGUCGGAUUAGCUAGUUGGCGGCGUAAAGGCCCACCAAGGCGACGAUCCGUAGCUGGUCUGAGAGGAUGAUCAGCCACACUGGAACUGAGACACGGUCCAGACUCCUACGGGAGGCAGCAGUGGGGAAUAUUGGACAAUGGGCGCAAGCCUGAUCCAGCCAUACCGCGUGGGUGAAGAAGGCCUUCGGGUUGUAAAGCCCUUUUGUUGGGAAAGAAAAGCAGCAGGUUAAUACCCCGCUGUUCUGACGGUACCCAAAGAAUAAGCACCGGCUAACUUCGUG
rnacentral:rRNA from 1 species